rnacentral:lncRNA from 1 species
CUUGGGGCCAUUCUGAGGGCCUUUGAGUGAGACAGAAAGGCAGGGACAGUAACAUACUUGACUCAGGUGUUUCAGCCUCAUCUUGUCCUUCCCUGUCAUUGCGCACCAUUUUUAAGUCAUUCACUGUAUUAAAAGGUAAACUUAGGUAUGCCAACAUUUUAAUAAUUUCUUUGAGCAUUCAGAGAUUCAUGAAUCAAGCAGCAUCAGACCUCAAGUGCUUCACUGCUUCAGCCAAGAAGUGCUUGGGGAACGUUUAUUAAGGUAUUUCAGAAGAGAGACAAAGAAAAUAGUUGAUUGGUUCAAGUGGAAAAUUCCGACUUGGAGUGGAGAAAGGAAGCAACUUUAUACACAACUAUGAAGCAGAGAAGAAGGUGGAAUGUGAAUUGUUCUGACGGUGUUAAAUGGUAGGACGUUAUUAAUCUGGGGAAAAUAAAGGUGACAAGUUGUAACUUUGCAUGACAUUUGAAAGCACUGCUAAAGGAGGAUGUAGCAGGCUGCCUGGAAAGUCACCAGCACUUUGAAAACAGUGGCUG